ACUAGUGAUUUCCGUAGGUGAACCUGCGGAAGGAUCAUUAACACUAAUCCAUACAACUCAACCAAGCCUUUAGUUGCAGUAGUAGUGCCUUGUGCACAGCUGCUGCAGCACCUUACAAAACUAACUAAUCAAAGAAACCUAACUAAAAACAACCACUAAACCAAAUUCUCAACGGUGGAUGUCUUGGUUCCCACAACGAUGAAGAACGCAGCGAAGUGCGAUAAGCAGUGCGAAUUGCAGAACCGUGAGUCAUCAGAUUUUCGAACGCAACUGGCGCCGUGCGGGGUCACCCGCCGGCACGCCUGGUCCAGUGUCUUGCUCUCUCAUCACCUAAAUCUUAAUGCGAGAGAUACCCUUCUCUUGCCAAACAUGAAAGCACUCCGCAUUCUGCGAGCGACUUUCGGGUCGCACUCAAUGCAGCAGUCACAUUGCUUACAAUGUGAACUCAUUGGGAGCAGAGGCGGUGCGGCGACAGCUGCCAGUGCUUAGACACACCAACUUAGGUACAGUAUCUGGGCUCAGGUGGGACCACCCGCUGAACUUAAGCAUAUCAAUAAGCGGAG
rnacentral:rRNA from 1 species